rnacentral:rRNA from 1 species
AGAUUGAACGCUGGCGGCAGGCCUAACACAUGCAAGUCGAGCGGCAGCACGGGUACUUGUACCUGGUGGCGAGCGGCGGACGGGUGAGUAAUACCUAGGAAUCUGCCUGGUAGUGGGGGAUAACGUUCGGAAACGGACGCUAAUACCGCAUACGUCCUACGGGAGAAAGCAGGGGACCUUCGGGCCUUGCGCUAUCAGAUGAGCCUAGGUCGGAUUAGCUAGUUGGUGAGGUAAUGGCUCACCAAGGCUACGAUCCGUAACUGGUCUGAGAGGACGAUCAGUCACACUGGAACUGAGACACGGUCCAGACUCCUACGGGAGGCAGCAGUGGGGAAUAUUGGACAAUGGGCGAAAGCCUGAUCCAGCCAUGCCGCGUGUGUGAAGAAGGUCUUCGGAUUGUAAAGCACUUUAAGUGGAGGAAGGCAGUUACCUAAUACGUGAUUGUUUUGACGUUACCGACAGAAUAAGCACCGGCUAACUCUGUGCCAGCAGCCGCGUAA